rnacentral:rRNA from 1 species
UACGGGGGGGGCAAGCGUUGUUCGGAAUUACUGGGCGUAAAGGGCCAGUAGGCGGCCAACUAAGUCGGAUGUGAAAUCCCCAGGCUUAACCUGGGAACUGCAUCCGAUACUGGAUGGCUUGAAUUCGGGAGAGGGAUGCAGAAUUCCAGGUGUAGCGGUGAAAUGCGUAGAUAUCGGGAGGAACACCCGUGGCGAAGGCGGCUCUCUGGACCAUAACUGACACUGAUGCGCGAAAGCGUGGGGAGCAAACGGG